UACGUAGGGUGCAAGCGUUAAUCGGAAUUACUGGGCGUAAAGCGUGCGCAGGCGGUUGUGCAAGACAGAUGUGAAAUCCCCGGGCUCAACCUGGGAACUGCAUUUGUGACUGCGCGGCUGGAGUGCGGCAGAGGGGGAUGGAAUUCCGCGUGUAGCAGUGAAAUGCGUAGAUAUGCGGAGGAACACCGAUGGCGAAGGCAAUCCCCUGGGCCUGCACUGACGCUCAUGCACGAAAGCGUGGGGAGCAAACAGG
rnacentral:rRNA from 1 species